rnacentral:rRNA from 1 species
AUGCAUGGGCGGUGGGCGCUAGUGGACAAGGCGGCAGUGGAGGAGGCGGCGGACAAGGCAGCGGGAGCAAGGCGCGAGCUCCGGUGGUCCGUGCCGUCACCAGAUCCAGGUGCUCCGUCCAUGGAGGAGCACCACUGGGAGGAGGUGGAGGUAGCAGGGCCCGACGGAGGCGCGUGGUAUCCUCCGGCGGCGUUAAUGCAGGCAGCUGACGGCGACGAGUGCGGUCAGGGGCAGCGUGGGGGCGGCGGCGCCGGUUGGGGGCAGGGCGGGGGCGGCGGCGCCGAUUGGGGGCAGGGCGGGGGCGGCGUCCCCUUUUGA